rnacentral:rRNA from 1 species
UACGGGGGGGGCAAGCGUUGUUCGGAAUUACUGGGCGUAAAGGGCUCGUAGGCGGCCAACUAAGUCAGACGUGAAAUCCCCAGGCUUAACCUGGGAACUGCGUCUGAUACUGGAUGGCUUGAAUCCGGGAAAGGGAUGCAGAAUUCCAGGUAUAGCGGUGAAAUGCGUAGAUAUCUGGAGGAACACCGGUGGCGAAGGCGGCAUCCUGGACCGACACUGACACUGAGGAGCGAAAGCCAGGGGAGCAAACGGG